rnacentral:rRNA from 1 species
UACGUAGGUGGCAAGCGUUGUCCGGAAUUAUUGGGCGUAAAGCGUGCGCAGGCGGUCCCUUAAGUCUGAUGUGAAAGCCCACGGCUCAACCGUGGAGGGUCAUUGGAAACUGGGGGACUUGAGUGCAGAAGAGGAAAGUGGAAUUCCAUGUGUAGCGGUGAAAUGCGUAGAGAUGUGGAGGAACACCAGUGGCGAAGGCGACUUUCUGGUCUGUAACUGACGCUGAGGCGCGAAAGCGUGGGGAGCAAACAGG